rnacentral:rRNA from 1 species
AACUCUGAACCAGCCAUCCCGCGUGUAGGAAGACGGCCUUAUGGGUUGUUAAACACUUUUAUACAGGAAGAAACGUACCCUCGUGAGGGUGCCUGACGGUACUGUAGGAAUAAGCACCGGCUAACUCCGUGCCAGCAGCCGCGGUAAUACGGAGGGUGCGAGCGUUAUCCGGAUUUAUUGGGUUAAAGGGUCCGUAGGCGGAUUAAUAAGUCAGUGGUGAAAUCCCAUCGCUUAACGAUGGAACUGCCAUUGAUACUGUUAGUCUUGAAUGAGGGUGCAGUGGUUGGAAUGUGUAGUGUAGCGGUGAAAUGCAUAGAUAUUACACAGAACACCGAUUGCGAAGGCAGAUCACUAACCCUAAAUUGACGCUGAGGGACGAAAGCGUGGGGAGCGAACAGGAUUAGAUACCCUGGUAG